rnacentral:rRNA from 1 species
AUUGAACGCUGGCGGCAGGCCUAACACAUGCAAGUCGAGCGGAGCGGCGGACGGGUGAGUAAUGCCUAGGAAUCUGCCUGGUCGUGGGGGAUAACGUCCGGAAACGGGAGCUAAUACCGAAUACUCUCAGAUUAGCAUAGGUCGGAUUAGCUAGUUGGUGGGGUAAGGGCCUACCAGGGCGACGAUCCCUAGCUGGACUGAGAGGAUGAUCAGCCACACUGGAACUGAGACACGGUCCAGACUCCUACGGGAGGCAGCAGUGGGGAAUAUUGGACAAUGGGCGCAAGCCUGAUGCAGCCAUGCCGCGUGUAUGAAGAAGGUCUUCGGAUUGUAAAGCACUUUAAGUUGGGAGGCGUUACCAGCAGAAUAAGCACCGGCUAACUCCGUGCCAGCAGCCGCGGUAAUAC